AAAAAAAGAGAACAUAAAGCUCAAACGUGGCUUUUUAAAAUUGGUUAAUCCAGAACGCCAAAGCACGACUUUACAGCUCCGGCAGUGUAGUGCGUGAGUCCUCAACAACAAAUACCAGUAUUUUUGCAGAGGAGAGAGAAAAUCCACCUUCAACAAUGGUGUCGUACAUUAACGCGUUACUCUACGGAGUAGGAGGGAUAGUUGUUGCUGGAAUGGCGUUGUUGGUUGCGUUUCAGGAGCGACUUGUUUAUGUUCCUGUGUUGCCUGGUCUUACCAAGUCUUACCCCAUUACUCCUGCUCGUUUGCGUCUUCUUUAUGAAGAUGUUUGGCUCAGAUCUUCUGACGGGGUUAAACUUCAUGCUUGGUUCAUCAAGCUUCUUCCCGAUUGCCGAGGUCCAACUAUUCUGUUUUUUCAAGAAAAUGCUGGAAAUAUUGCUCAUCGCCUUGAAAUGGUUCGGAUUAUGAUUCAGAAGUUGCAGUGCAAUGUAUUCAUGCUUUCUUACAGAGGUUAUGGUGCUAGUGAUGGCUCUCCUUCUCAACAUGGAAUCACCAAAGAUGCUCAGGCUGCAUUGGAUCAUCUAAUGCAAAGGACUGAUAUAGACACGUCCCAGAUAGUUGUGUUUGGGAGGUCAUUGGGUGGAGCAGUUGGAACCGUUCUUGCAAAAAACAAUCCUGAUAAGGUUUCUGCCUUGAUUUUGGAGAAUACGUUCACAUCCAUUUUGGACAUGGCUGGAGUUUUACUGCCUUUCUUGAAAUGGUUUAUUGGCGGAAGCACUGGCAAAGGUCCUAAGAUUCUGAACUGUGUUGUCCGUUCCCCUUGGAGUACCAUUGAUGUUAUUGGUCAGGUUAAACAGCCUAUCCUUUUCAUCUCUGGAUUGCAAGAUGAGAUGGUUCCUCCAAUCCACAUGAAAAUGCUGUAUGCCAAAGCAGCUGCCCACAAUAAACAUUGCUUUUUUGUGGAAUUCUCUACUGGCAUGCAUAUGGAUACAUGGCUUACUGGUGGAGAUCGUUAUUGGAGAACAGUUUGUGAAUUUAUGGAACAACACGUAAUUGAAAAAACACAUGAUGAGUCUAACUCUAGUACCAAUGUUUAUCCAAAAAUGUGAAAUCUGGGUUUCAUAGUCGCUAAUAUUGUCGACAUAUUGCCAUCUUGGUGACCCUUAGUGGCCUAAUUCUCUUGCUGGUUAAGCAGUUGCUGUUAAAAGACGUUGGAAAGUAGAUUUUCCUCUAGACAUGGCUGAAAUUUUUUGUACCUGUUAUUGCAAUGUGUAAAAGCUAUCUGGAAAGAGUUGCUUCUGGUCAAGAUUCUUAUUAAUGGCUUUGCGUUCUUGCUGUUGAUGUUGUUUUUGUUGAACUUCUUAUAGCAAGAACUGAACACUUUUGUGUUCAAUGUCUCUAACAAAGUAUGGUGACCAGAUUUAUCAGCCUGUGUUCACCAUGCAGUAGAUAGUAGCAAGGGAGAUGCAAAACAUACACUGUAUAGUUUUUGCUCUGAAGAUAGUAACUCAUUUUUUUUCUAUUGUGUUAGAUCGGGAUUUACUAAAUCUUCGUGGAUUGGGAUUUUAGGAUCUGACUCAAAAUGCUGAUCCAGCAUUUAAUGAUUUGACUCAGCGAGAGUUGGAUGCUGAAUUGUUGUAGUCAAUACAUUUUUGCUUUGUUAUGCUGUUAGUAAAGUGGAUUUCUGUAGUUUUACUGGAUGAUGUAUAAUGUGUUGUUUUGGUACAAUAUUGAGGCCUGCUCGUCGUUGCUAGCUUA